rnacentral:rRNA from 1 species
GAUCAUGGCUCAGGAUGAACGCUAGCUACAGGCUUAACACAUGCAAGUCGAGGGGAAACGACAUCGAAAGCUUGCUUUUGAUGGGCGUCGACCGGCGCACGGGUGAGUAACGCGUAUCCAACCUGCCCAUCACUUGGGAAUAACCUUGCGAGAGUAAGACUAAUACCCAAUGAUAUCCCACGAAGGCAUCCGAAUGGGAUUAAAGAUUUAUCGGUGAUAGAUGGGGAUGCGU